rnacentral:rRNA from 1 species
UACGUAGGGGGCAAGCGUUGUCCAGAAUCAUUGGGCGUAAAGCGCGUGUAGGCGGCUCGAUAAGUCUGCUGUGAAAGUCCAGGGCUCAACCCCUGGGAUGCCGGUGGAUACUGUCGAGCUCGAGUCCGGAAGAGGCGAGUGGAAUUCCUGGUGUAGCGGUGAAAUGCGCAGAUAUCAGGAGGAACACCAAUGGCGAAGGCAGCUCGCUGGGACGUGACUGACGCUGAGACGCGAAAGCGUGGGGAGCGAACAGG